rnacentral:rRNA from 1 species
GACGAACGCUGGCGGCGUGCUUUACACAUGCAAGUCGAACGGUGAAGGUGGAGCUUGCUCCGCCGGAUCAGUGGCGAACGGGUGAGUAACACGUGGGCAACCUGCCCCUAACUUUGGGAUAACUACUCGAAAGAGUAGCUAAUACCGGAUAUGAAGUCUGUAGGCAUCUAUGGAUUUGGAAAGUUUUUCGGUUAGGGAUGGGCCCGCGGCCUAUCAGCUUGUUGGUGAGGUAGUGGCUCACCAAGGCGACGACGGGUAGCCGGCCUGAGAGGGCGACCGGCCACACGGGGACUGAGACACGGCCCAGACUCCUACGGGAGGCAGCAGUGGGGAAUAUUGCGCAAUGGGCGAAAGCCUGACGCAGCAACGCCGCGUGCGGGAUGAAGGCCUUCGGGUUGUAAACCGCUUUCAGCAGGGAAGAAGCGAAAGUGACGGUACCUGCAGAAGAAGCACCGGCUAACUACGUGCCAGCAGCCGCCGUAA